rnacentral:lncRNA from 1 species
CCUCAGGGUUAGGACUCCAACCCAUGAAUUUGGGAGUGAGGGGACACGAUGCAGCCUAUAACACACUGUCUCUCUCCAUGCUGCCUGUCCCAUUUCUGGGCCACCUGGAGGAGCCAAUGGGAGCUGAGUUCUGGGGGCAGAGCUGUGGGGAGCUGGUGGAUGCAGAGGAGGCUUCACAGAAGGCAAGUGAGAACUCUGGGAACCAGAUGACAGCCUCAACCACCCUCCACCAGGGAGGAUGGAGAUUGGACCUGACGGGGAGAACAUUCUUAACCACGCUGUUUACCAACAACCUUCUCCCUGCCAGACCUUUUAACACAUCAUUUCAUCUAAUCCCCUCAACAAGCCUGCAAAGUGGAUACUGUUAUCCCAUUUUAUAGACAAGGAAAACAAUACUCAGGGUGAUUGAAAAACCAUCUGGGGUAAGGAAGCCAUGGAUUUAAGGAUCAUGGGUCCUAACUUCUCGACCAGCCAAACAAUUGGUUCUGUUGGUUGGGUUGUCUGGCUCUUCCCCACCACAGAACCUUCACAGAUGCUGUUCCCUUCUGUAGAGGAUGCUUCCCCAUCUCCAUGCUCCAUCUGUCUUACUGAAUUCCUGCUCCUCCUUCAACUAUCUGCUCCAGGAUUUCUUCUUCGGAGAAGCCUCCCCUAGAUCCCAAAGCCAAGUCUAGUUCAUUCGUUAUUUGUUCUCACGGCCCCAUGAUCCUGUCCUGUGCCCUCAGGUUAUUCUAAGUCUGGUGACCCCACUGCCACUAGACUGUCAGCUCCUUGACGUCAUGGGCCAUAUCUGUUUGUGGUCACCACAAAAUUUCCAGUGUCUAGUACAGUAGAUGGCACAUAGCAGAUGCUCAAUAAACACCUAUGGAACCGAAAGAAUAUUCAUUCCUCCUCUCAGUGGCCCUACUCAACACUCCUCUCCCUCUGAGACUGUGGCUUCCUUUGUCUCUUCAUUCCCAUGACAGUUUUUAUUUUAUCUCUGCAUAUCUUCACUGAGCUGUUCUUGUUAUGUUUAUCACCCUCUCUAGACCAUGACUCUUUGAAGAUAAGGCCCAGGUCCUAUUCAUUUUUCUCUCCCAGGAGCACAGCUCAAAAACUGGUACAGAGUAAGUAACCCAUUGUGAAGUGAGAGGAAGGUGGGUGCUGAGCAGACAAGACCCACCACUUUCACUCUGACCAGUCUUUACAACUCAGUUCACCCAUGCCCC